ACGUCAAGUCAUCAUGGCCCUUAUGACCGGGGCUACACACGGUACUACAAUGGUCGGUACAGACGGUCGCAAGCUCGCGAGAGUAAGCUAAUCCGAGAAACCGAUCGUAGUCCGGAUCGCAGUCUGCAACUCGACUGCGUGAAGUCGGAAUCGCUAGUAAUCGCAAAUCAGAAUGUUGCGGUGAAUACGUUCCCGGGCCUU
rnacentral:rRNA from 1 species